rnacentral:lncRNA from 1 species
GUUUAAAACUGUUCCUCUUUGUCCUAUCACCAUCAGACUAUGUAAAAAGUUGGUCUCCCUGUUUAUAAGCUCCAAUUAAGUAAUGGAAGGCUUCAGUGAAGUAACUUGUGAAUGCAGAAGAUAUUUUGCAUGUGAAGAUAAAUGAAAACCUAGUACCACAGGGCACGUGCUCACUGUUCAGAGAAUGCAGACAGAAAGCGAUUGGAAUGAAAAGAGGACAACCAAGGGCCGAAAAGGAAUACUGAAGACAGUUGUAAGAACAUGGAUUUAAAUUCUACCAUGACCUGAUUCUGCAACAACAACAUUUGAAGCAAUCAUACAAGUUUGCAAAGACCCCAGAAGGA